AGACAGAUGGAAUGAAUCACUUCUAAUGUUACAUAUGUGACUCCCAAGAUGUCAAGAGCAAAUAUAUCUAGAGUUUGACAUGAUACAUUUCUGGUUGAGCUACAGUUGGAUCUGACAUGCACAUGCACUCAGGGCCUCAUUCCACUCCUAAGCAUCCUGGUGCAAUGACCAUGGACCCAGGUCUCCCUGUCAAAGGGUCUGGACAUUAUUACUGAUUCUUUCCUUGGAUCUGUGGCUAUAGGAAUUGGCUCAAGCAAUUAAGAAGACCAAGAAGUCCCCCAGCAUGCCACCUACAAGUUAGAAAACCAGAAAAGCUGGUUUGAGUCUGUGUAUAAAAUGAGAGUUCCUGUGGCCAGGAUUCUCACCUGGCUGUGGUUGACUAGCUCACUGGACACCUGUGGGCAAUACAUGACUGUUGACUCUAUAAAAAGAGCUCUGCCCAGUACUCUGGGCAUGACACGGUGGCAGGGCUGCAAGACUGCAGGAGAGCAGAGCAGAGGCUGGAGUGGGCAGUGCCGAAGACAGAGAACCAGAGGACGGCUGUGUGGGACUGCUGUGCAGAGAGGCCCAGAGGAUGGCUGUGUGGGAUGGCUGUGCGGGACAACUGUGCAGACAGAGGGGCCCAGGAUGGCUGUGUGGACAGAGGGGCCCAGAGGCAGAGACCAGCUUGCUGCAUGCAGACUCACUCUGAGUGAACGGAAUUUUAGUGACUGACCUGCCAUCUGGA